CAGAAAUGAAUAGAAAAUUGAUCUAUGAGAUCCCCGAUUCUUCUUGACUGUGGUGACUUGCAACAUCCUAGCAGCCAUAUCAGGAGGAAAAUGAGCAGGGCUCCCGCCACGAUGCCAGUCACUGCUCCUGCCACCAUGCCAAUGCUCUGCACAUCUGUUCCCUCGGAAGCACAGACAGAAGUAACGUCAAACAUAAGCUCGGAGAUGCACACACUCCCAAGACAAAAGCCCCAGACAGGGUGGCUUCCCAGCGCCACACACACCCUGCCAUCCUCUCAUGUUGUGUCACUGUACCUUUCCAUAUUCUUGCAAGCUGAAGUUACUGAACCACUUUACUAGUUUGCUCUGAUUUUAGUGACUAAGUCUGCCUUGGUUCAUGUGAUAAAACAGGCUGGGAAAGUUAUUGUGUCAUGUUAAAAAAAAUUUCAACCCUCAUGGGAUACCUCUGGGCAAUCUUCUAGCUCUGUCCAUUCCUUUCUGUAACUGCCCUUUUCUACCGGUAAAAUAAAUUAGCAUAUAACCGA